rnacentral:lncRNA from 1 species
CACCACUGCAAGAGGGGAAGUUGCUACUGUGAUGAAUUCUGCCAUGUGGUACCAGACUGCUACCCAGACCACAGUGUCCUCUGCAACCCUCGUCAAAGCUUCUCAGAUGACCAAGAUGGUGCUGCAGAUGGUGCUGAGGAUGGAGAACCCACCAAGCCCCGCUAGGAGCCACCUAGACUGGAUGUAGAGCAUGGUUCAGCGAGUUCUCCAAACCAGCCUCCCAGGAAUGCCGGUCUCCAUGGCUGUGAGGGGAAUCAAGAAGAGAGCCUGACUCCUCUCCUGAGGCCCCUUCCCCACCCUGAGCCAGCAGGAUCCACGGAGCAGAGGUCAUCUGUCCCCAGCUUGGCCCGCUGAGGCCAGCAUGGCUGGGCCCAUGAUGCUUGUCUCUCAGCUCCCAUCCUGUGUACUU